GAGUUUGAUCCUGGCUCAGAACGAACGCUGGCGGCAGGCCUAACACAUGCAAGUCGAGCGCUACCUUCGGGUGGAGCGGCGGACGGGUUAGUAACGCGUGGGAAUAUACCCUUCACUAUGGAAUAGCCUCGGGAAACUGAGAGUAAUACCAUAUACGCCCUUCGGGGGAAAGAUUUAUCGGUGAAGGAUUAGCCCGCGUAAGAUUAGAUAGUUGGUGGGGUAAUGGCCUACCAAGUCUACGAUCUUUAGCUGGUUUUAGAGGAUGAUCAGCAACACUGGGACUGAGACACGGCCCAGACUCCUACGGGAGGCAGCAGUGGGGAAUCUUAGACAAUGGGCGCAAGCCUGAUCUAGCCAUGCCGCGUGAUGAUGAAGGUCUUAGGAUCGUAAAGCUCUUUCGCUAGGGAUGAUAAUGUCAGUACCUAGUAAAGAAGCCCCGGCUAACUCCGUGCCUACAUCCGCGGGUAAUACGGACUGGGCUAGGCUUGUUCGUAAR
rnacentral:rRNA from 1 species